UCCCUGGUAGUCUAGUGGCUAAGACUCUGCAUUCUCAAUGCAGGGGACCCGGGUUCAAUUCCUGGUCAGAGAA